UCGGGGUCCCUUGCACACAGAAAAGUAAAAUUCAGAGAAAAACCCUCCGAAAUUUUCCACCAAAAUUCGGAGAAAAAUCGCCGGACUGAGUGUGGGAUUGAAGGUAAGAACUUGUUUUCCACCAAAAUAAAUUAUGUCCACAUGCUUCCUUCGUUAACCCGAGCUUGAAACCUUCCGAUUCACCUAAGACUUUCGGCUGAAGGAGACCGCGACCAUGCAAUCAAACUAGUUUCUUCCGACGGGGAUUUAGCUACUUCACUUGUGAAAGGUAAUUAUUUUGAUGAGGAACAUUACCCAUUUCGACGCAAAAUGCUGCAGAUUUUCACUUUAGAUGUUUAACGUAAUUAUUCUCAUUGUAAUUAUUUGACAUUUUGUGGAAGAAAAAUUAGAAAAUCUCUUCUUUUAUCCUUUUAUCCUUUUAUGAUGUUAAAUUCAUUCAGGGUUGGGUUUGUGUUUGUGUUCGAAUAAUUAUUAUUAUUAUUUUAUUUUUUAAAUUAGUGUCCAUUAAGAUCAUACUGUCUAAAAUGUGUAUAGAAUCUGGAAACAACUUGGUGGCAUAUGGAUGGACAGAAUGAUGGAGAAAGGUAAUGUCAUUGUAAUUUUUCGAAGUUGCACUAUUUCGAAACCUAUGUAUUUUCACUGCUCGGGCAAAUUUCUUAUUUCAUUUCUAAUAUUAUUGAAGCAAGAUUUCCAUGAACAUUUGAACAAUACUCAAAAUUAAUAUUGUCAUUUAAUAUGAUGCAGGAAAAGAGGUUGUGGAAGUAUUGGACAAUGAAGUUUUAGUAGAAUCCAAUAAUAACAACAAUACGGAGAAUGUCGUCAAUAAUACAAACAAUGUUGUCACAUUAGACGAUGAUAUCAUAGGAGGAGAUGGCGUGAUUGUGCCAAAUUGGUAUGGAGUUCAAAGAUGAGAAAGAGGUGUAUGAGUUUUAUAAGAGGUAUGCGUAUCACGUAGGUUUUCCGGUUAGGAGGAAGAAUUCUAGAAAGGGAGAAGAUGGAGUAGUGAAUUACGUUACGUUGACAUGUUGUCGUGAGGGCUGGAGAAGUAGUAAUGCAGGUGCUUCUUUGAAGCCGCAUCCAACAAUUCAGACAGGUUGCAAAGAAAGACUUACUGCUACUUCGAUAUUCGUCGAAUUUGGAAAAUUCGCACAAUUGAUCUCAAACACAAUCAUAAAACUAGUCCUUCAAAAUCCAGAUUGUAUCGUUGCAAUCGAGAAUUGAGUGCAAAUGUCAAACGCAAGCUCGAAGUGAACGAUAUGACUGGAAUACCUUUGCACAAGAGUUACAACUCAUCAGUUGUUGAAGCAGACGGGUAUGAGAACAUGACUUGCGUGGAAAAAGAUUGUCAAAAUUACAUUGAACAAGUGAGGCGAUUAAGACUCGGUGAAGGAGAUGUUGCGACAAUACAAUCCUACCUUUCACAAAUGCAAGCACAGUGCUUAGGUUUUUACUUCUAUAUGGAUUUAGAUGAAGAGUCACGGAUUAGGAAUCUCUUCUGGGCAGAUAAGAAGUGUAGGCAAGCAUAUAAGGAGUUCGGGGAUGCAGUGACGUUUGAUACCACUUAGCUCACAAAUAAAUACGGCAUGCCUUUUGCCCCCUUCCUUGGAGUAAGUCAUCAUGGACAAUCAACACUCUUUGGAUGUGGUUUGUUGGCAAAUGAAGAUACAUAUACAUUUGUUUGGCUAUUCAGGACAUGGAUGUAGUGUAUGCAUGGUCAAGCACCAAAUGGAAUCAUUACCGAUCAAGACAAGACUAUGCAAAAUGCAAUUGCGAUAGUCUUUCCAAAGUCGAGGUAUAGAUGGUGUUUGUGGCAUAUAUUGAAAAAGUUGCCGGAGAAGUUUGGGUACCACGUUCAGAAGGGCUCCAUUUUUUUGUCUAUACAUAGCUUAGUGUAUGAUACACAAGUCGUUGAGGAAUUCUAAGAAGGUUGGAAAGCUAUGCUUGAUACAUAUAACUUACAUAAGAAUGAUUGGUUGUUGGGGUUGUUUGAGAACAAGGGUCGUUGGGUGCCAUGUUAUUUAAAAACAACAUUUUAGGCGGAGAUGUCAAUAACUCAGCGCAGUGAGAGUAUGAAUGUGUUCUUCGAUGGUUAUGUGCAUUCUAAGAUAUCGUUGAAAUAGUUCGUCGAACAAUAUAAGCGAGCAUUACGAAAUAAAUUUGAGAAGGAAUUCCAAACAAAUUUCAAGUCUUACUCAUAGAUGGUAUUCUGUGCAACAAAAUAUGAAAUGGAAAAGCAAUUCCAGGUUGUUUAUACCAUUUCAAAAUUUUGGGGAUUUCAAGAUGAGAUAACUGGGAAUGUCUACUGCGAUAUGAUAUCUGCAUUUGAUAUAUGUUCGGAGAAGUUGUAUGAGGUUGAGGAGGAUGUCAUUUACAAAGAAAAUGUUAGAAAGAAAAAGUUUUCAGUCACAUUUCGAGCAGAGGAUUGCAAUGUUAUUUGCAGUUGCCACUUAUUCAAGUUUCGUAGCAUUUUGUGUAGACAUGACAUAUCAGUGUUGAUGCGUCAUGGCGUCACAUCACUAUUGGAGAGGAACAUAUUGAAGAGAUGGAGACGAGAUAUUAGUAGAGCCCACACGAGGGUUGUUGUGAAUUACUCCGGUUUGGUUAGCACUCCUAGCCAGUUGAGGUAUGAUAAAAUGGGUGAAGUGUUCGCGAUGUUGGCAAACAGUGCUGCCAACGAUGAAGAGCGAACUCGUGCGAUAAUAGAUUGGAUUCAAUCGUAGUCCAAAGACAUGAUGUCUACGAAGACGAGUUGGGUAAGUAAUAGCAUUUCGCAAUCUAAUUUGCAUUUAGGUUCGCAGCCUAGUUUGCAUUUAGAUUCACAAUCUAGAGCAUCACAUGACACUGGCAGUGGUACAAUACAAAAUCCUAAAUGUUCAAAAAGAAAGGAUGCACCAAAGAAACUUCGUCAUAAAAGCUCAUUGGAGUCAAGCUCAAAGGAAAAAAAAUGUUAUUUUUCUUUCACACAUUUUUAUCAUGUGUCGUACAUAAAUUUGAACGAAGUGAAAAUGUCAAUUAUUCUCAUGUCAUGCAGGCAGCAUCGACUUCCAGCAAAGGAUAGAGAUCGAGAGCAGCAAAAAACAAUCUUCGACCCGACACACCAUUCGUUCAGUCCUCGCCACAUGUACAAUAUUCAAUGAUGACACAAUUCUCAAAUUCACAAGUCAUAGCUGUAAGUAUAUAUUAUUGGCAGAUGUAUUGGAGGCAAGUUUCUAAUGAAAUUUUCAUUUCAAAGAGUCUAAAAGACAUUAAAAAGACUUCAAACUAAAGAAUGAAUAAAUUUUAUGGGUAAAUCAGUUUUUUAUGUUAAAUCGGUUGAUUUAAUUGUGGACGUUAAACCGAGUUCCUAAUUUUGCUAUGGAGUCUAAAUAUUUUAUUUCUUACACAUUAUUAGACCAUUCUUGGUCGAACUGAUCCAUUUUUUGUGGCCAAACAUCCAAUGAAUACAAUGAUUUUGUAUCCUAUUUUUCUAUCUAAUGCAAUAAUUAUGGUUCAUUGAUUUGCUGAAAGAGUUGUUGUCGUGGAGCCAUCUUCUUUUUUAUUUGUUCAAUGUAUACCUACUAUUUUGCAAAUUGAGGUUGCUUGAUUGAAAUUUCUUUUAGUCUUUUCCUAUUGCACCUACAUUGGGAUUAAAUUGUUCUUUAACUUGCUGACUGUUGGAAAUUGGUUUCCAAAUUAACUUGAAAGAUCGAAAAUUGGUUAAGUAAAAAUUGAAAUCGGAAAGUGUAACUAAUGUGUCAACUUCGGCCGAAUGUUCGAACUUGAUCCGAUGGUCAAAUUACAAAAGUAAAGCCAACAUGUUCUACUCAUCGAUUAGAUGAUCGUAGUAUAUUUGGACAUUAGAAACUAAUUCCGGGUGAAUGAGAAAUUGUGGUCCAAAUAUUGGAGGAAAAUACGGUGGAAAAGGGCUAAAAUACACUGUCGCUCGAUGUUCUUUCGAGCAACAGCGUCAUCGUCGCUUGAUGUUCGCUCGAGCGACAGUCUCGUUCGCUCGAGCGAAAUUCGAGCAAAAAGUGAGCAAAGUAUGUUUUGCUCGGAUUUUUGAAGCGCUGCUCGAGUGAAAAGCUAGCGAAAAUGGAAUGUUGCAACUAUUCGAAAGAUUGCACGAUUUGGCCCACACUACUUCUUCCACACCCCUUCCUCCUCUAUAAAUAGGACCCCUUGGAUGUCCCUAGGAGAACAUCAACUUAUAUUUUGCAUUGAGUACUCGUCUUCUCUUGCAAAAUCUCUCUCCCUUUUUCUUACAUAAAAUCCCUUUGUAGAGGGAGAAAUUUCGUCGAUUCGUCAGUUCUUGUGGUGUGAAGUGCUGCUACCACAAGAUUAAACAUCCGUUGUAUCUUGGAAGACAAGUACUGUCAAUCAUGAGCACCAUAGCGGGACAAUAUUGUCUUAAGGAGAAAGUGUCAUCACUUGCCUCGGAUUUUAUUUCUUUUUCUUCUCCUUUUCUUGUUUCAUUUUGAUACCUUUAUUUUGUGAUUUUGUACUACACUUUCCAAGUUUACAUAUCGAUAGUUUGAUCAUGCUCCUACGGGUUAAACAGUAAUUUGUUUUGAUACAAACAUCAACAACCACCAUAUCACUCGCAUAAACUCCAGAACCAACAAUCUUAAGACAAUAUUUGUCGGUGGUUGUUUUGAUUUUGUUUUGGUUUAACCCAUACUUUGUUCUUCAUUUUGGAAUAGUCUUUGUGCAUUGUUCCUUUCCCUUACUUUGCGUUGUGAUAACCUUCUGUUUUUGUAACAGAAAUGAGUACUGUAGAGGCUUCAAGUCAAAAAGGUACAAACAUGGUUACGACUAUGGCGAUAAACACUUCAAUCCCGCAUGGUGAAAAAUCGAAAAAAUUUAGGGGCUGUUUGAGCCCCAUUAUUUGUAGAUUAUAAUGAGAUGAAUAGUGUUUUUUUUAAAAAAUGAGUGGUUGAAAAGUUUUUGAUAUAAGUGUAAUAUUAUUUUAUUGAAGAUUGUGUGGUUAAAAGUAUGAGAGAGAAAAACUUAAUUUAAUGUAAUGAGAAAUAAUGGAGCUCAAACGGGGGCUUAGUGGCGUGGAUUUUAAAAGACGGCAACAAAAGAUGUUAUUCUAUCUCACUACCCUAAAUUUGGCAAAGUUCUUAAAAGAGACCGCACCAUCUGUACAAGAGGGAGAAAAUAAUCGUGAGUCGAUUAUUGCAUUGGAUGCAUGGAAGCACUUAGACUUUCUAUGCUAAAACUACAUUUUGAAUGGGUUGGACAAUACACUAUAUGGGGUGUAUAGUUCUAAAAACUCAGCUAAGGAAUUGUGGGAUUCUUUGGAAAAUAAAUACAAGACUAAGGAUGCCGGAACCAAGAAGUUCAUUGUAGGCAAGUUUUUGGACUACAAAAUGGUAGAUAUCAAAACUGUGAUAAGCCAAGUGCAAGAAAUUCAAGUCCUCUUGCACGACAUACAUGCCGAAAAGAUGGAACUAAGUGAAUCCUUUUAAGUGGCUACCAUCAUUGAGAAACUCCCUCCUAUGUGGAGAGAUUUCAAGAACUAUCUCAAGCACAAAUAUAAGGAGAUGAAUUUGGAAGAAUUGAUCGUUCGCUUGAGAAUUGAAGAAGACAAUAGGAAAAAUGAAAGGAGAAAUAUUGACCAACUUGAAGCAAACUUUGUUGAAACAGAAGAAAGGCCUUUGAACAAGAAACGAAAAAUCUCAAACGAUGCACCGCGUAGAGAUAACUCCAAGAAGGCGAAAAGGUUCGAAGGAAAAUGCUAUAAUUGUGGAAAGCCCGGACAUCGUUCAAAUGAAUGUCGAAAGCCUAGGAAACCUGCUCAAGCCAACAUGAUUGAGAAGGACAACCUUUCAAAAUGAAUGCAGGAGAUGAGUCUAUCUGCAAUUGUGUCCGAAUGCAACAUGGUUGGAAACAUAAGGGAAUGGUGGGUAGAUAUCGGUGUAACCCGUCAUGUGUGUGCUGAUAGGGCAAUGUUUUACAACUAUCAAGAACUGAAACGGGAGCAACUAUUCAUGGAGAAUGCUUCAAGUUCCAAGAUUGAAGGACAAGGCAAAGUCACUUUAAAGAUGACAUCUGGAAAAGAGCUAGUCCUCAACAACGUCCUAUAUGUGCCGGAUAUUCGAAAGAAUCUUGUGUCUGGAUCUCUUCUUAGUUAAAAUGGUUUCAAACUUGUAUUUGUAUCCGAUAAAUUUGUGUUGUCUAAGAGAUGUAUAUAGGAAAAUGAUACAUAUAUGACGCAAUGUUCAAGAUGAACAUUCUAACUGUUGUACCGAAACAAGGCAUUUUGAAUACAGUAACAAAUUAUGUUUACUUGCUUGAGUCUUGUUUAUGGUAUAAUUGAUUAGGACAUGCGAAUUAUAAUUCAUUGCGCAAACUUAUGAAUCAAAGUUGAAUUUCGGCGCUUGAAAUUGAUCCUAAUCACAAAUUCAAAAUAUGUGUUGAAGCAAAAUUGGCUAAAACACCGUUCCAUUCAAUUCAAAGGAACACGGUACCUCUAGAAUUAAUCUAUAGUGAUAUAUGUGAUUUGAAAUUCGUUCAAACUAGAGGUGGUAAGAAAUACUUUAUAACUUUUAUCGAUGAUUGUACAAAGUAUUGUUAUGUCUUUCUUUUAAGAAGCAAAGACGAAGCCUUAAAUGUAUUUAAACAAUAUAAGGCUGAAGUUGAAACGCAAUUUGACAAACGAAUUAAAAAAUUCGUAGUGAUCGAGGAGGUGAAUAUGGGGCACCAUUUGAAGAAUUCUGUUUCGAACAUGGAAUCAUUCAUCAAACAACGGCUCCAUACUCUCCUUAAUCGAAUGGAAUUGCUGAACGCAAAAAUUAAACUCUUAAAGAGAUGAUGAAUGCAAUGUUAAUAAUUUUGGGUUUACCUCAAAACUUGUGAAGGGAAGCUAUCUUAACGGUAAAUAGUCUUCUCAAUCGGAUACCGCUUAAGAAAAUGGAAGAGACACCAUAUGAGUUAUGGAAAGGUCAUUUUCCUUCCUAUCAAUACUUAAAAGUGUGGGGUGUUUGGCAAAGGUUGAAGUACCCAAGCCUAAACAAAUUAAAAUUGGUCUCAAAACGAUCGAUUGCAUAUUUAUUGGAGACACCAAUAAUAGUAGUGCAUAUCGUUUCCUAGUACACAAAUCCGAUACUCAAGAUGUAUACAAGGGUACCAUAAUUGAAUCAAGGAAUGCGGUAUUCUUUGAAAACAUAUUUCCUUACAAAGAUAGGGAAACACCAAGUUCAAAUAAGAGAACUUAUGAAUCUGCAAAUGGAUCUUCAAAUGAGGAAAAACCAGGGCGCAGUAAGAGGGCUAGAACAUCCACAUCAUUUGGUUAGGAUUUUCUAACUUAUAUGGUAGAAAAUGAUCCAAGGACUUACAAGGAAGCGAUGUGAUGCGAACCCCAUAGCAACGUUGACUACGAAACCCACAACGAGAUUGACGAACCCAAGAAAGCCAAAUUAAUCCAAAGUUUAGGAUUAACCCAAAAGAAAGUCGAACCAAAAAAUCCAACAAGAACGAUGCUUGAAAGACCCCUUGAUCACGCAAUUCAAGAAUUAAAUCCGGUUGUUUGAACGCUACAAGUUAACACUUGAUAAGUUCGAAAUUGUUCAAUGAAGAACGAUGAAGAGAAAAUAAUACGCCUCACUUUAAUUCAAUAUCAAUAAUGUCAAAGGUUUUUUAACAAUUGAAUGGAAACUCCUAUUUAUACUAAACCUAAAAAUUAGGUAAAAAUCGUGUAAAAGUCGAGCAUAAUCUCCAAAAUAUGGAAAAGAAUCAAAAUCUAACAAAAUAUGGAAAAUUACCAAAAUUGAAAAAUUCGCCAAAUUUUUGGCUUGUGCGACCGCAUGGUGUAUUUCCAUGCGGUCGCAUGGUUCAACAAAAAAUCCCAAUUUAAGUUUCGGUAUGUCACUGUGCGGUCGCACAUGCUUAUUUUCAGCGUCCGGUUUCAUCGCUUGAUAACAAAUUGAUCCAAGUUGAUUCGGCCUUCGACUCGAACAUGAAAUUUGCUUCAUUUUGAGUCCCGAACAUGGUUCCAUCAAUGGUUUCUUAAACGAGCAAUCUCAUCACUUGUUUCACUUGCUUUUUCCUUGAUCGCGUUAUUGAUCCCCCAUCGACUAUCAACGUGUCUCGUCUCGCACUUGCCUUCAUCGGGCUCGACUCCUGGAUCAUAUCAUCCCCUCCCUCUUCAGAAGGAUUCAUCCUCGAAUCUGAACCUACAUCAAAUAGAGAGAGAUCAGAUACAUUAAAAGUAGCUGAAAUAUUGUACUCACCUAGAAGGUCCAACUUGUAAGCAUUGUCGUUUAUCUUUUCAAUCACUUGAAAUGGACCAUCGCCCCUCAGUUGCAAUUUGGACUUCCUUUACUCCGGAAACCGCUCUUUCCUAAGGUGCACCCAAACCCAAUCUCCUGGCUCGAAUGUCACGCGCUUCCUACCUUUGUUUGCCUGCGACGCAACCAACUUACUUUUGUUUUCAAUUUGCGCUUUUACCUUUUCAUGGAGUGGCUUAACCAAUUCCGCCUUCUUUUUACCAUCUAAACUACCACGUUCAUUCACAGGUAAAGAAAUUAAAUCCAAAGGAGUUAGUGGAUUAAAACCAUAUACAAUUUCAAAUGGAGAAUAUGAUGUAGUAGAGUGAACAGCUCGAUUGUAUGCAAAUUCAACAAAUAGUAGACACUCCUCCCAACUCUUCAAAUUUUUAUUGAUUACUGCGCGUAACAAUUGUGUCAUAGUCUUAUUCACUACCUCGGUUUGCCCAACCGUUUGUGGGUGACAAGUUGUGGAAAAUAGUAACUUAGUGCCUAACUUACCCCACAAAACUCUCCAAAAGUGACUCAAAAAUUUGACAUCCCAAUCCGACACUAUGCUUCUAGGAACCCCAUGUAAACACACAACCUCUUUAAAGAAUAAGUCAGCAAUGUUCGUGGCAUUGUCAGUUUUGUGACAUGGUAUAAAAUGUGUCAUUUUGCUGAACCUAUCUACAAUCACAAAAAUAGAAUUCCUACCUCUCUUAGUCCUAGGUAAACCUAAAACAAAGUCCAUCGAGAUAUCAACCCAAGGCUCACUAGGUGUAAGUAAAGGUGUGUACAAACCUUGUGGUAAAACCUUAUAUUUAGCCUUUUUACAACCUAUGCAUCGACUACAAAUUCGCUUAACAUCACUUUUCAUCUUAGGCCAAUAAAAAUGCUCCUUCAAUACAUCUAAAGUCUUUUGAACCCCAAAGUGUCCCAUCAAUCCACCACUAUUUGCCUCCCUUACUAACAACUCCUGAAUAGAACAAUUAGGAACACAUAACCUAUUUUCCCGAAAUAAAUACCCCUCAUGCCUAAAAAACCUAUCAACCGCCCCUUUUAUGCAUGACAAAUAAAUAUCCGAAAAUUCAACAUCUUUUUCAUACAAUUCCUUAAUAUGUUCAAAACCAAGUAACUUAGAAUCAAGAGGAGUUAGCAAUACGUACCUUCGCGACAACGCAUCCGCCACCACAUUUUCCUUACCUUGUUUAUACUGAAUGACGUAUGGAAAGGUCUCAAUGAAUUCCAUCCAUCGAGCAUAUCUCUUGUUCAAUUUACCUUGUCCCCACAAGUGCUUUAGUGACUCAUGAUCGGUGUGUAUUACGAACUCCUUCGGCCAUAGAUAAUGUUGUCAAGUCUCCAAAACUCGAACAAGUGCAUAAAAUUCUUUGUCAUCUGUAGGAUAAUUUAAAGCAGCUCCACUCAAUUUCUCACUAAAGUAUGCAAUAGGCCUCCGAUCCUGCAUUAAAACUGCUCCAAUCCCUAUUCCUGAUGCAUCACACUAAAUCUCGAAUGUUUUGUCAAAAUUAGGUAAUGCCAAAACAGGUGCUUCACACAAUCUACCUUCAAUAGUAUUAAAUGCAAGUUCUUGUUCAUCACCCCAAUGAAAACCUACACUCUUUUUAACUACUUCCGUGAGUGGUGCAGUGAUAGUGCUAAAAUCUUUCACAAAUCGCCUAUAAAAAUUAGCCAAACCAUGAAAACUUCUAACUUCCGUUAUGUUUUUAGGCGUCGGCCAAUCUCUAAUAGCUUUUAUCUUUUCAUCGUCUACUUCUACCCUAUUAGCACUAACCACGAAACCAAGAAAAAUAACUCUAUCCAUACAAAACAUGCAUUUCUUAAGAUUAGCAUAGAGUUGUUCUUUCCUUAAAACAAUUAGCACACAUUUUAAAUGUUCCAAAUGUUCUCCUAGGUUUUUGUUAUAGAUUAAGAUGUCGUUAAAAUAAACCACAACAAAUUUUCUUAUAAAAGCACGUAAAACAUAAUUCAUUAAACGCAUAAAAGUGCUAGGUGCAUUUGUAAGUCCAAACGGAAUAACCAACCAUUCAUAUAAACCAAUUUAGUUUUAAAAGCCAUUUUCCAUUCAUCACCCUCCCGCAUACGAAUUUGAUGAUACCCGCUUUUUAAAUCAAUUUUAGAAAAUAUGCAAGAAUCAUGUAAUUCAUCAAGCAUGUCAUCUAACCUAGGUAUAGGGUGACGAUACUUUACCAUUAUGUUGUUGAUAGCCCUACAAUCCACGCACAUUCGUCAUGUUCCAUUCUUUUGUGGUACAAGCAAAAUCGAUACCAUACAAGGACUCAUGCUUUCCCUCACGUAUCCUUUACUCAUCAACUCCUCCACUUGCCUUUGAAGUUCCUUAGUCUCCUCGGGAUUACUUCGAUAAGUCGGUCGAUUUGGAAUGACAGCUACGGGUAUGAAGUCAAUUUGAUGUUCAAUGCCUUGAAUAGGCGGCAAUCCACUUGGUGCAUCCUCCGGAAAUACAUAGUCGAAUUCCUGCAACAAAGAUUUAGCCAAACUAGGGAGGGGUGGGUUAGUUUUCUCAAAAUUGAGGAGUGAUUCCUUAUAAAUGAACAAGAUCAUCUCUUUUUUCUCAACUACCGCCCUCCUCAAAUCACUCUCUAUUGCAAAGAAAUUCGCUCGUGUUUUCUCUCUUCUCUCGGGGCAUUCUCUUUCUUUUCUCUCUUGUGAUUGCUCUCUCUUUUUCUCUCUAAUGGCUAUCUCAACAUUUUCUCUCUUUUUCUCCAACUCACUAUUUGCUCUCAUUUUUUCUAACUCUUUUGCUCUUCUCUCUUCCUCACUUCUCAAUUUUAAUUGGUCCUCAUAGACUUGCGCCGCUGUUAAUGGCACAAGAGUAAUGGUCCUUCCAUCCUUAAUGAAACUAUAUCGAUUUUUGUACCCAUCAUGCAUAGCCUUCCUAUCGUAUUGCCAUGGUCGCCCCAAUAAAAUAUGUCCCGCUUGCAUUGGCACCACAUCACAUACUAACUCGUCCUUAUAACUCCCAAUUGACAAAUUAAGUAACACCCUUCGAUUCACCCUCACCUUGCCACUCUCAUUCAACCAUUGCAAUUUAUAAGGUCUCGGGUGUCUCAACAAUGUUAAACCUAAUUUUUCUACAAGAGAUACGCUAGCUACAUUAGUGCAACUACCACCAUCAACUAUAACACGACAUACCGUAUUGUUGACGUGGCAUCGAGUGUGGAAAAUGUUCUCCCGUUGCAACUCCAAGUCGUUCGCUUUGACGUGAGUAGUGAGAGCUCGCCUUGUGACUAGUAGAUCCCCAACCGGCCCUUCAACUUUUUCUUCUUCACUAACACCCUCCAACGCCGACAUGUCAUCAAACUUUCCAUCACUAUCGCUCACAAUCUCUUCAUUAUCCCGCAACACCAUCGCCCGUUUGUUUGGGCAUUGAGAAGCAACAUGCCCCAUUCCCAAACACCUAAAACAUUUGAUGUCCCGAUUGCGCGGCGGUUGUGCCUCCGAUUUUGAUAUUGGUUUGCUAGCAUUUUCAUCUUUGCCCUUUUGCCAAUCAUUUUUACCUCUAGGUGCAGCCCCGUUUUUGUUGUUAUCAUCCCACUUCAAUUUUCAUGUUGGAUUAGGAGUCGAAGUACCUAACGGUUGCCUAGACGUCCCCUUCCUCUUCAAUUGCCUCUCGACCUUCAUUGCCACAUGUAACAUGUCCUUGAUUUCCACAUAAUGUUGCAACUCUACAACGUUUUCAAUAUCCCGAUUUAACCCAUUCAAGAACCGUGCCAUGGUAGCUUCCCGAUCUUCAUUCACAUUAGCCCGAAUCAUAAGAAUUUCCAUCUCCUUGUGAUAAUCCUCUACGCUUUUCGAUCCUUGAUACAAACCUUGCAAUUUUUGAUAGAUUUCCCUAUAAUAGUGACUCGGAACAAACCUCCUCCUCAUCAACAUCUUCAACUCAUUGGCCUUUCUCGACCCCUACGCCGUGAUGUAAGUACUUAAUCCCACCAAGAUAUCGUGUAAUCCACAAAUUCAAGCACCACCAAUUUUACCUUUUUCUCCUCCGAAUAAUUAUAGCACUCAAAAAUAUCUCAACCUUCCUUUCCCACUCUAAAUAUGCUUCCAGAUCGCUUCUCCCCUUAAAUUGCGGAAUAGUCAUUUUAAUACUCCCCAAAUUUCCAUCUACUUCAUCUCCCAAGUUAUUCCUAUCCCGUCUUUCCAUCCUAUCGCCCCUAUGCCUCGCUCGACCCAUAUCAAUGUCAUUUUCAUCAAAAUCAUCCUCAUCACUACGAUACUCAUCCCACCUUCCUCUCUUAGAUUCACGCCUACUCGGCCCCCUAGCAUUAGACAUCUUCACUUGUCCCCGACUAAGAUUAGCAAUUGUAGUACCUAUUUGUGCCAUCCAUUCCCCUUGCCUAUCCACAUUUUCCCUAACAACACCAAGUACCCUUUCAAACCUCCUUAUCAUGUCCUCCGAUGCAUUGUUGUCAUUACCGUUUCGGCUUGAAUUAGAACAUUUUCUUUCCGACAUCAUAUCACACAAUUUUUUUAUGCCUCACAAAGAUUUCACUCGAAAAACACUCACUAUGGCUUUUCCCUCUAUUAAACUCACCACUCGGCCUUUUACCACUCAAAGUCUCCCUCCAAGUACUUCAAAGAACCAAGUGAACUAAAUCAAUUAUUUUAUCGGCAAUUCAAACAAACCGAAUAUUAAUCAAAGACCACGAGACUCAAAGGACUUGAAUAAGUGGAAUAGAUGAAUGUUUUGACACGAAUAUGUGAAUAGACUCAAAAGAAGAAUGAAAGACUCGAACCCAAUUGAAUAUCCCAAAAAUCAAAUACAAUGUAGGAAUUGUUGUUGGUAGAAAAAACACAAAAUCAAAUAUAUAUAUAUAUAUAUAUAUAUAUAUAUAUAUAUAUAUAUAUAUAUAUAUUUGUGAACAAUACUUCGAGAGGAACAGUACCUCGAAUGUACAGUAACCUUUUUUUUUUCGUUUUUGUACUCUCUUUUUUUUAUGAAAGAAGAUGAUUAAACUACCAACAAUUAAACGAAACGACGAAAAGAAAAACAAGGACGAAGAAGAACUAAGAAAGAACGAUUAAAAUAGAAGAAGAAACUAAGAAAACAAAAUUAACGACUCAACAAAUAAAGAAAAGAUAUAACCUUCAAUUAAUUUGGAGUCAAAGCUCUGAUAUCAACUGAUGCGAAUCCCGUAGCAACAUUGACUACGAAAUUCACAAUGAGAUUGACGAACCCAAGCAAGUCAAAUUAAUCCAAAGUUUAGGAUUAACCCAAAAGAAAGUCGAACCAAAAAAUCCAACAAGAACGACGCUUGAAAGACCCCUUGAUCGCGUAAUCCAAGAAUUAAAUUCGGUUGUUUGAACGCCACAAGUUAACACUUGAUAAGUUCGAAAUUGUUCAAUGAAGAACGAUGAAGAGAAGACAAUACGCCUCACUUUAAUUCAAUAUCAAUAAUGUCAAAGGUUUUUAACAACUGAAUGGAAACUCCUAUUUAUACUAAACCUAAAAACUAGGUAAAAAUCGUGUAAAAGUCGAGCAUAAUCUCCAAAAUAUGGAAAAGAAUCAAAAUCUAACAAAAUAUGAAAAAUUGCCAAAAUUGGAAAAUUCUCCAAAUUUUUGGCUUGUGCGGCCGCAUGGUUCAAAAAAAAUCCCAAUUUAAGUUUCGGUAUGUCACUGUGCGGUCGCACAGGCUUAUUUUCAGCAUCCGAUUUCAUCGCUUGAUAACAAAUUGAUCCAAGUUGAUUCGACCUUCGACCCGAACAUGAAAGUUGCUCCAUUUUGAGUCCCAAACAUGGUUCCAUUAAUGGUUUCUUGAACAAGCAAUCCCAUCGCUUGUUUCACUUUUUUUCCCUUGAUCGCGUCAUUGGUCCGCCAUCGACUAUCAAUGGGUCUCGUCUCGUACUUGCCUUCGUCAGGCUCGACUCCUGGAUCAUAUCACGAUGUCUACCCCGGAAGCAUCGCAUUGGAAGGAAGCUAUCAAUAGCGAGAUAUAUUCUAUAAUGUAAAAUCAUACUUGGGAAUUGGUAGAUUUACCUCCCGGAAAUAAGCCUUUAGAGUGUAAAUGGAUAUUCAAAAAGAAAUUGAAAUCGGAUGGAUCCAUUGACAAAUAUAAAGCUAGAUUGGUUGCCAAAAAUAUAAUUAAAAAGAAGGAUUUGAUUUCUUUGAUACCUACUCACCCGUAACGAGAAUCACCUCAGGUUGCUAAUUGCAAUUGCGGCAAUACAUAACCUUGAGAUUCAUCAAAUGGAUGUAAAAACGACAUUCCUAAACGGUGAGUUAGAAGAGGAGAUAUAUAUGAAACAACCUAAAGGGUUUGUGUCUCCAAAUGAAAGUCAUAAAGUAUGUAAACUUGUUAAGUCCUUAUAUGGCUUAAAACAAGCUCCUAAGCAAUGACACCAAAAGUUUAACAAAAUAAUAUUGUCAAAUGGAUUUAAAAUAAAUGAAUGUGACAAGUGUGUAUAUGUGAAGAAUACAUCGAAUGCCUAUGCAAUAGUAUGUCUAUAUGUAGAUGAUAUGUUGAUAAUGGGUAAUAGUCACGAAAUGUUGACAAACACCAAGAAAAUGCUAACAAGACAUUUUGACAUGAAAGACAUGGGUGUGGUAAAUGUAAUACUAAGGAUAAAGAUCUCUAGAACAUCGAAAGGAAUCGUACUUUCCCAAUCUCAUUACGUUGAGAAAAUACUAAAGAAGUUUGAAGCAUUUGAGGAAAGUCCUGCAAAGACUCCUAUUGACACAAGUCUACAAUUGGUCAAAACUAAGGGAGAAAGUGUGUCACAACUAAGAUAUUCACAAAUAAUUGACAGUCUAAUGUAUGUUACAAACUGCACUCGACAGGACAUUGCGUUUGCGAUGAAUAAACUUAGUAAAUUCACGAGCAAUCCAAGCCAUGAUCAUUGGGUGGCAUUGAUAAGAGUCCUUAGGUACUUGAAGUAUUACAUGACCUAUGGAUUACAUUUCACAAAAUAUCCUACGGUAUUAGAAGGAUAUUGUGACGCGAAUUGGAUAUCCGAUAUGAAGGAUUCCAAAUCCACAAGUAGCUAUGUGUUUACACUUGGUGGAGCCGCUAUCUCAUGAAAAUCUUCAAAGCAAACGUGUAUAGCAUGAUCAAUUAUGGAAUCAGAGUUUAUUGCUUUAGACAAAGCUGGUGAAGAAGCAGAAUGGCUUCGAAAUUUCUAAGAAGAUGUUCCAUGUUGGUCUAAGCCGGUACCUGCCAUAAGCAUACACUGCGAUAAUCAAUCGGCUAUUGAAAGGGCUAAAAGCAGCAUGUACAAUGGUAAGUCUAGACAUAUACAUCGAAGACAUAAUACCAUUAAGCAACUGAUCUCAAUGGGCGCCAUCUCCAUAGAUUAUGUGAAAUCAAAGGAGAAUGUUGCGGAUCCGCUUACGAAAGGUUUGCCAAGAGAUUAAAUACGUUGCCUAUCGAGAGGAAUGAGAUUAAAGCCUACUAAAUUAGAGUCCUUGUAAUGGUAACCCUACCUUGUUGACUAAAGAUCCCAAAAUCUUGGUUCAAAGGGAAAACUAAGUUAUGAGGAUUUCAUGAAGCGCUUAGAAAAUAAUUUCCUAACUUAUUCCUAUGAUACCAAAGUACUUUCUGCAGAAUUGGAAGAGGUUAAAAUAAUCUUUUAAUGAUUCCUAUAUCUUGAUUAAGUCAAGUGGAGUAGGGUAGAAUACUCUUAAUAGGAGGUCACCUAUGUGAGUGUGAAGUGAUGCCGCUUCAAUGAGAAUUAUUCAAGGCUUAAAUUCUCUAAAACACUUGCAGAACCAAAAGGGGUUCAGGGUCAAAAUGAACCAAGUCAUGAGAACCAAGAACGGAAUUAGGGAAGAUAUUAUGUGAGUAUUGUUGUCUUGGCUUAUACUAACGGCUGGUCGGUUCAAGACAUCAUGUUCACCAACUAGCCAAGUAAGCUCGAUAAUAUUUCACUAAGGAAAGUUCAAAGUCGGAAGCUACCUUGCCCGAUGCAAUAUUUAUCCGCUCUUUCUCUCUACAAUUGCAUGUAUCGUGUCGCAUAUCAUUUGCAUAGUCAAACUUCCAUUCAUGUAGGGGAUUGUUGGAAAUUGGUUUCCAAAUUAACUUGAAAGAUCGGAAAUUGGUUAAGUAAAAAUUGAAAUCGGAAAGUGUGACUAACGUGUCAACUUCGGCUGAAUAUUCGGAUUUGAUCCGAUGGUCAAAUUACAAAAGUAAAAAGGCCAACUUGUUCUACUCAUUGAGUAGAUGAUCAUAGUAUAUUUGGACAUUAGAAACCAAUUCCGGGUGAAUGAGAAAUUACGGUCCAAAGAUUGGAAGAAAGUACGGUGGAAAAGGGCUAAAAUACACUGUCGCUCGAUGUUCGCUCGAACGGUAGUGUCACCGUCGCUCAAUGUUCGCUCGAGCGACAGUCUCGCUCGCACGAGCGAAAAGCUAGCGAAGAUGGAAUGUUGCAACUAUUCGAAAGAUUCCACGAUUUGGCCCACACCACUUCAUCCACACCCCUUCCUCCUCUAUAAAUAGGACCCCUUGGAUGUUCCUAAGGGAACACCAACUCAUGUUUUACAUUGAGCACUCGUCUUCUCUUGCAAAAUCUCUCUCCCUUUUUUCUUGCCUAAAAUCCCUUUGUAGAGGUGGAAAUUCCGUCAAUUCGCCGGUUCUUGUGGUGUGAAGUGCUGCUACUACAAGAUUAAACAUCCGUUGUAUCUUGGGAGACAAGUGUCGUCAACCAAGAGCACCAUAGCGGGGCAAUAUUAUCUUAAAGAGAAAGUGCCAUCACUUGCCUCGAAUUUCAUUUCUUUUUCUUCUCCUUUUCUUUUUUCAUUUUGAUAUCUUGAUUUUGUGAUUUUGUACUACACAUUCAAGUUCACAUAUCGAUAGUUUGAUCACGCUCCUGGGGGUUAAACAUUAAUUUAUUUUGAUACAAACAUCAACAACAAUCAUACCGCUCACAUAAACCCCAGAACCAACACUGCCAAUAGGAGUUCGCUAGGAGGCCGAGAAACUAUAUUAUUAACCGUAGUUUUCUUAGUAGAUAUUCAAUUUAAGUUAUUUCAAUUUCAUAACAUGGUCCUACAAUUAAUUUGUAUAUUACUCAUUAGAACCAAUGUCCAUUAAUAUUUCUCACUACUCUCUUUAUGUGCACUUAAGGUACUUAAGCCAAUUAAAGAUAUCGCGAGACAUAAAGAAAUGCUAAGGAGAGGAAGAAUUUGCUUAUACUAAAUAAAAUUCAUCAAAAAAACUAUACAAGUGGUUGGUAUACUUUUUCCAUGAAUAACUUCAUGAUGAUGGCAACAAUCAUAGUAAUGACAAUGCUAUCCCAUCUUUAUAAUGCAUAUGUAGAUUUAGAAUCUAUUGGCUGGUCAAAUGGGUCAUUUCUUGCUUGAAAGAGCUUUUCAUUUUUAGUUCCUAACUCUUGACAUUCUAAAAGUCAAAUUAGUAGUUGCUUUGGUAGAAUUAAGUUUAUCGAAAGCAAGUAAACAAUUUCGCAGAGUGGAUUUGCAUAUUCUCUUUUGUGUGUGGGGUUCCAGUACUAAUUAAAGGAGUUUAAAAGUUGAUUUACGUAUGGAAGUUCUCCCCUUGAUUGUACCUAUUGUUUUCAAUCCUCAUGUGAAUAUUCAAUCUCUAUUUAGAAUUGAAGAUACCUUAUUCGUGGGAAACAGUAAGUAGAAAUUAAGGUAAAUGUCAUAACUUGUCCCUAUGCUCUAGUGGGUGGUCGACAUUUAAAUUGAACAGUCUACUAUGUGCUUUGGCUAGGAAAUUCUUGGACUAAAACAAAUUCACGAAGGGAAAUACAAGUUUUAUUGCUUCACGUAGGGUGACAGGGAAAGUCACGCACUAACACAACAAGUGCCAUCUACAAAUUUUAUUCCCGCGUCAACAUCGAAUGUUUUGUUCAAAUAUCCCGGUGAGUAUACGAUUUCCAAUGUGUAUUUACAUGUUCCUAAUGUGUAUUUAGCAUAUGUCCAAAUUUUUCAUGUUUAUGUUAGGGAAUACAAUGUUAUUGUCCCGAUUUGUCGUACAAUGUUGGAACACAAUUAGGAAUGACAUCGUUCACAAUUGAUGUUUUUCCUCUUGGAUUUCACGGUGUAAGUGGUGUAAUUUUUCUCCUUACAAACAGUUAAUUUCAUAUGAUUCUCCAAUGUACUUGCAAUAAUAAUAUGUUAAACCUCAUUUCAGAC
rnacentral:lncRNA from 1 species